CCCCCAGUAAUUUUAUCCGUAAUCAGUUCGAUGCUCCUAUGCCCAGUCAGCUCCUGUUUAUUUUUUUACUUCUCGGUAAAUAUUUAUGUCUAUUUUCUACAAAUUUAAAUUUGAACUUUAAUAUUGGGUAUAUAUCGUCUAACCUCUAUGAAUGUCAAAAAAGUUAUUUACUUUUAUUAAAAAAUCAAGGAAUAUUGUUUAUAUGUAAGGAUUGGGAAUGUCACUAAACUGGUUGUACCUUGCCUUUGGAUUCUCACUAAGCAUAUGUGCAGAUGGCAUAUUCAGGUCUAUCUCCUUUUAGUCUGCACCUUCUCUUGUGUUUUUGUUGAUGAAGGAAAAGUUUAAAAAAUCAUAGGUCUAUCCCAAGAGUAAGGUAAGAGCUGUACAAAAAGCGUACCGAACCAUCAGGAGAAGUCUAAUCACAUAUUAAGAAUCUACUAUAUUACAGAAAUUAAGCAAAUCCAUUUUGAUAAAUUGAAGCAAAUAAAACAAUCAAAACAAACUCAAAA
rnacentral:lncRNA from 1 species